rnacentral:rRNA from 1 species
GAUGAACGCUAGCGGGAGGCUUAACACAUGCAAGUCGAGGGGUAUUGUAGCAAUACAUUAGACCGGCGCACGGGUGAGUAACGCGUAUGCAACCUGCCGUUAACCGGGGGAUAGCCCGUCGAAAGGCGGAUUAAUACCCCAUAAUAUUGGGAUUCUGCAUGGGAUUUCAAUUAAAGCUGAGGUGGUUAACGAUGGGUAUGCGUGACAUUAGCUAGUUGGUAGGGUAACGGCCUACCAAGGCUACGAUGUCUAGGGGUUCUGAGAGGAAGGUCCCCCACACUGGUACUGAGAAACGGACCAGACUCCUACAGGAGGCAGCAGUGAGGAAUAUUGGUCAAUGGGCGAGAGCCUUAACCAGCCAUCCCGCGUGCAGGAAGACGGCCCUAUGGGUUGUAAACUGCUUUUGCGCAUGAAGAAUGUUACCGACGUGUCGGUAAGUGACGGUAAUGCGUGAAUAAGCAUCGGCUAACUCCGUGCCAGCCGCCGCGGUAAUAC